CCUACACGACCGUACCGCAAACCGACACUGGUGCGCGAGAUGAGUAUUCUAGGGCGCUUGAGAGAACUCAGGAGAAGGAACUCGGCAAAUUGACACCGUAACUUCGGAAGAAGGUGUGCCUUUAGUAGGUGAACCUGUACAAGGGGAGCCCAAUGAGGUUGCAAAAAAUCGGUGGCUGCGACUGUUUAAUAAAAACACAGCACUCUGCAAACACGAAAGUGGACGUAUAGGGUGUGACGCCUGCCCGGUGCUGGAAGAUUAAAUGAUGGGGUGCAAGCUCUUGAUUGAAGUCCCAGUAAACGGCGGCCGUAACGAUAACGGUCCUAAGGUAGCGAAAUUCCUUGUCGGGUAAGUUCCGACCUGCACGAAUGGCGUAACGAUGGCCACACUGUCUCCUCCUGAGACUCAGCGAAGUUGGAAUGUUUGUGAUGAUGCAAUCUCCCCGCGGAAAGACGGAAAGACCCCAUGAACCUUUACUGUAGCUUUGUAUUGGACUUUGAACAGAUCUGUGUAGGAUAGGUGGGAGGCUUUGAAGUGUGGUCGCUAGAUCGCAUGGAGCCAACGUUGAAAUACCACCCUGGUGUGUUUGAGGUUCUAACCUAGGCCCGUAAUCCGGGUCGGGGACAGUGCAUGGUAGGCAGUUUGACUGGGGCGGUCUCCUCCCAAAGCGUAACGGAGGAGUUCGAAGGUACGCUAGGUACGGUCGGACAUCGUGCUAAUAGUGCAAUGGCAUAAGCGUGCUUAACUGCGAGACUGACAAGUCGAGCAGAUGCGAAAGCAGGACAUAGUGAUCCGGUGGUUCUGUAUGGAAGGGCCAUCGCUCAACGGAUAAAAGGUACUCUGGGGAUAACAGGCUGAUACCGCCCAAGAGUUCAUAUCGACGGCGGUGUUUGGCACCUCGAUGUCGGCUCAUCUCAUCCUGGGGCUGUAGCCGGUCCCAAGGGUAUGGCUGUUCGCCAUUUAAAGAGGUACGUGAGCUGGGUUUAAAACGUCGUGAGACAGUUUGGUCCCUAUCUUCCGUGGGCGCUGCAGAUUUGAGGAAGCCUGCUCCUAGUACGAGAGGACCGGAGUGGACACACCUCUGGUGUAUCGGUUGUCACGCCAGUGGCAUUGCCGAGUAGCUAUGUGUGGAAGAGAUAACCGCUGAAAGCAUCUAAGCGGGAAACUCGUUUCAAGAUGAGAUCUGCCGGGGCCUUGAGCCCCCUAAAGAGUCGUUCAAGACCAGGACGUUGAUAGGUCGGGUGUGGAAGCGCAGUAAUGCGUUAAGCUAACCGAUACUAAUUGCUCGUGCGGCUUGACCC
rnacentral:rRNA from 1 species